GGGCCCGCACAAGCGGAGGAACAUGUGGUUUAAUUCGAUGAUACGCGAGGAACCUUACCCGGGCUUGAAACGCGUUCGACGUGGCCGGAGACGGCCACUCCCCUCGGGGCGGGCGCGUAGGUGCUGCAUGGUUGUCGUCAGCUCGUGCCGUGAGGUGUCGGCUUAAGUGCCAUAACGAGCGCAACCCUCAUCGUUAGUUACCAUCAGGUGAUGCUGGGGACUAUAGCGAGACUGCCAUCGUAAGGUGAGAGGAAGGUGGGGAUGACGUCAAAUCAGCACGGCCCUUAUGUCCGGGGCGACACACGUGUUACAAUGGGCGGUACAAAGGGUAGCCACCCGGUGACGGGGCGCCAAUCCCCAAAACCGCUCUCAGUUCGGAUCGGAGUCUGCAACUCGACUUCGUGAAGCUGGAUUCGCUAGUAAUCGCGCAUCAGCCACGGCGCGGUGAAUACGUUCCCGGGCCUU
rnacentral:rRNA from 1 species